CGAUUUGGAGUGCCCAAGCGCCUGGUGUCGGACAAUGGGACUCAGUUUGCAAGCCACCUGUUGAAGAAGCUGUGCGAAGGGUGGGAAUUCAACAAGUGUUUGCAUCCGUCGAGCACCCUCAGACGAAUGGCCAUGAUUUUGAGUGCCCAAGCGCCUGGUGUCGGACAAUGGGACUCAGUUUGCAAGCCACCUGUUGAAGAAGUUGUGCGAAGGGGUGGGAAUUCAACAAGUGUUUGCAUCCGUCGAGCACCCUCAGACGAAUGGCCAGGUGGAGUCAGCUAAUCGGGUGUUGCUGAGAGGUUUGAAGAGAAGGCUGGAGAAAGCCAAAGGAAGCUGGGCUGAAGAGGUACCCCGCAUAGUCUGGGCGUACCACACCACCGAGCAGUCAGGAACCCAUGAGACCCCGUUCAGCUUGGUCUAUGGGUGUGAUGCAAUGAUUCCAGUAGAGAUCCAGGAGAGCUCGCCGAGAUUCCGGAACUUCGUAGAGGAAGACUCGAAUGAAGAGAGAAGGCUGAACCUGGAUCUACUGGAUGAGGUCAGGGAAGAGGCGAGAUUGAAGGCUGAAGCGGUGAAGAGAAGGAUUGAACGAAGAUACAACUCAAAGGUGAUGCCAAGACAGUUUAGAGAAGGCGACCUGGUGAUGAGGAAAGCCCACCAGUACGAGAUGGAGAAUAAACUGUCGCCCAAGUGGACGGGGCCGUUCAGAAUAACCGAGGCGCUCGGGAACGGCGCCUACCAAUUAGAGACAUUGGAAGGAGGGGCGAUUCCUCGCACUUGGAACGCCACGCACCUG
rnacentral:lncRNA from 1 species